UGGAAAACAGCCUUGUGUCUUUCUCCCUGGUCUGCUCUACUUGAGCUCACUGGACCCUGGACAUCAGAAAACCCCAACUGCCCCCGCCACCAAGAAAGAUGGCAGCUCGGUCUCUCAGCCAAAGCCACAGGAGGCCAAGGAACUGCCUCCUCCAGGAGACCUACAGACCAAGCCCAGUGCCGCCCAGGCAGUGGAGAAGCCCUUGGCUACUACAGAAAGCCAUGCUUGGAGCCUGCAGGGACAGUAUGGGCAGUCCCUAAGUGAAGAUGGUCCUUGUCCCCAGGAAGCCAGACACGUGGCUGAAAACAGAACAAGCCAAGGGCUGGAUGUUUCCAGAAGCUCGAAGGAAGAAGCCCGAGAAGAGGCACACUCUGAGUCAGAGCAGCAAAGGUGUGGAACA